rnacentral:rRNA from 1 species
GCAUAUCAAUAAGCGGAGGAAAAGAAACCAACAGGGAUUACCUUAGUAACGGCGAGUGAAGCGGUAAAAGCUCAAAUUUGAAAGCUAGCACCUUUGGUGUUCGCGUUGUAAUUUGAAGAAGGUAUCUUUGGAGUUGGCCCUUGUCUAUGUUCCUUGGAACAGGACGUCAUAGAGGGUGAGAAUCCCGUCUGAUGGGGUGUCCAACUCUUUGUAAAGAGCUUUCGAAGAGUCGAGUUGUUUGGGAAUGCAGCUCUAAGUGGGUGGUAAAUUCCAUCUAAAGCUAAAUAUUGGCGAGAGACCGAUAGCGAACAAGUACAGUGAUGGAAAGAUGAAAAGAACUUUGAAAAGAGAGUGAAAAAGUACGUGAAAUUGUUGAAAGGGAAGGGCAUUAGAUCAGACUUGGUGUUUUGUGAUUAUCUUCCUCUUGUAGGUUGUGCACUCGCAUUUCACUGGGCCAGCAUCGAUUCGGAUGGUAAGAUAAUGACAUUGGAACGUAGCUACCUUCGGGUAGUGUUAUAGACUUUGUUGAUGUUACCUAUCUGGAUCGAGGACUGCGUCUUUUGACUAGGAUGCUGGCGUAAUGAUCUAAUGCCGCCCGUCUUGAAACACGGACCAAGGAGUCUAACGUCUAUGCGAGUGUUUGGGUGUAAAACCCGUACGCGUAAUGAAAGUGAACGUAGGUGAGGGCUCUUUUUUGAGUGCAUCAUCGACCGAUCCUGAAGUUUUCUGACGGAUUUGAGUAAGAGCAUAGCUGUUGGGACCCGAAAGAUGGUGAACUAUGCCUGAAUAGGGUGAAGCCAGAGGAAACUCUGGUGGAGGCUCGUAGCGGUUCUGACGUGCAAAUCGAUCGUCGAAUUUGGGUAUAGGGGCGAAAGACUAAUCGAACCAUCUAGUAGCUGGUUCCUGCC